rnacentral:rRNA from 1 species
UACGGGGGGGGCAAGCGUUGUUCGGAAUUACUGGGCGUAAAGGGCUCGUAGGCGGCCAACUAAGUCAGACGUGAAAUCCCCAGGCUCAACCUGGGAACUGCGUCUGAUACUGGGUGGCUUGAAUUCGGGAGAGGGAUGCAGAAUUCCAGGUGUAGCGGUGAAAUGCGUAGAUAUCUGGAGGAAUACCGGUGGCGAAGGCGGCAUCCUGGACCGACAUUGACGCUGAGGAGCGAAAGCUAGGGGAGCAAACGGG